CAACUUAAUGACAUAACGGACAUUACAUACCUAUUGUGUGUACCCAAUGCUUCUGACAGGCAAAGAUUCAGCGAAAGCUUUUCAGAAACGACAUAAAGUGUAAAGUGUAAAUUGUAAGAAAGGGUGGAAAAAAAAAUGAUGCCUGGCAAACUGCAGUCUGACCUUCAGAAAAGCACAAACAAGAAUAUGGAGAAGAAACAGAAAGAAUCAAAAUCCAAAGGGUCAGAAGAUACAAAUACAUUGAAACCUGUCAGAUGCAAAAGCAUGGAGCGUCUGGGACCAAAUUUCUCUCAUGAUCCAGUCAGAGCUGUAGAAUCUCGUUCUGAUGUACCAGAAGAUCCAGGAUGAGAAAACAACAGGACCUUUAUCUACAGUAUCUGACGGGGGAUCAGUCAUGACUCGCGAGCUAGCCAAAUUUCUGGAUCUCCAGAAAUGUAUUUUCUGCACUUUAUUGCCUGCACUUUAUAGCUUCUGUUUUUAGAAAAUGUUUUUUUCUUGUAAAUUUUACAUAAUGUGAAACUAACGCCAUUUGAAUCAUAUUUGUAAUGGAAGAAAAUACACUACAUGAAAAAUGA